rnacentral:misc_RNA from 1 species
UCUCCGUUGGUGAACCAGCGGAGGGAUCAUUACAGAGUUGCAAAACUCCCUAAACCACUGUGAACCUUACCUCUCCGUUGCUUCGGCGGGAGGCCGCGCCCCCCGGGGCCGGCCGUUGGGGACCCCCCCUCGGGGGGGCGACCGCCCGCCGGAGGUACCGAACCCUUCUGUUAUUUUUGGCACUCUGAGUAAGACACUAAAUAAGUCAAAACUUUCAACAACGGAUCUCUUGGCUCUGGCAUCGAUGAAGAACGCAGC